AUGAACGCUGGCGGCGUGCUUAACCCAUGCAAGUCGAACGGAAAGGCCCAAGCUUGCUUGGGUACUCGAGUGGCGAACGGGUGAGUAACACGUGGGUGAUCUGCCCUGCACUUCGGGAUAAGCCUGGGAAACUGGGUCUAAUACCGGAUAGGACGAUGGUUUGGAUGCCAUUGUGGAAAGUUUUUUCGGUGUGGGAUGAGCUCGCGGCCUAUCAGCUUGUUGGUGGGGUAAUGGCCUACCAAGGCGUCGACGGGUAGCCGGCCUGAGAGGGUGUACGGCCACAUUGGGACUGAGAUACGGCCCAGACUCCUACGGGAGGCAGCAGUGGGGAAUAUUGCACAAUGGGCGCAAGCCUGAUGCAGCGACGCCGCGUGGGGGAUGACGGCCUUCGGGUUGUAAACUCCUUUCGCUAGGGACGAAGCGUUUUGUGACGGUACCUGGAGAAGAAGCACCGGCUAACUACGUG
rnacentral:rRNA from 1 species